rnacentral:SRP_RNA from 1 species
GCUGGGUGUUUGGCGUGCACCUAUAAUCCUGCUUCUGGGAGGCUUGGUAGAGUGGAUGGCUUGAGUUUAGGAGCCCUGUUUCGUGAUACCGCAUGUUGAUCAGGUGCCCGCACUAAGCUUGACAUCAGCAUGGAUCUGCUAGAGGAAUCUAGUAGGUGCAGGUUA